GUGGGGAAUCUUGCGCAAUGGGCGAAAGCCUGACGCAGCCAUGCCGCGUGAAUGAUGAAGGUCUUAGGAUUGUAAAAUUCUUUCACCGGGGACGAUAAUGACGGUACCCGGAGAAGAAGCCCCGGCUAACUUCGUGCCAGCAGCCGCGGUAAUACGAAGGGGGCUAGCGUUGCUCGGAAUUACUGGGCGUAAAGGGCGCGUAGGCGGACAGUUUAGUCAGAGGUGAAAGCCCAGGGCUCAACCUUGGAAUUGCCUUUGAUACUGGCUGUCUUGAGUACGGGAGAGGUGAGUGGAACUCCGAGUGUAGAGGUGAAAUUCGUAGAUAUUCGGAAGAACACCAGUGGCGAAGGCGACUCACUGGCCCGUUACUGACGCUGAGGCGCGAAAGCGUGGGGAGCAAACAGGAUUAUAAACCCGUGUAGUCC
rnacentral:rRNA from 1 species